rnacentral:rRNA from 1 species
GAUGAACGCUGGCGGCGUGCCUAAUACAUGCAAGUCGAGCGACUCGGGGACGGGUGAGUAACACGUGGAUAACCUCCUAUAAGACUGGGAUAACUUCGGGAAACCGUAGCUAAACCGGAUACUUAUCGAUGGAUCCGCUCUGCAUUUGCUAGUUGGUAAGGUAACGGCUUACCAAGGCAACGAUGCAUAGCCGACCUGAGAGGGUGAUCGGCCACACUGGAACUGAGACAAGGUCAAGACUCCUACGGGAGGCAGCAGUAGGGAAUCUUCCGCAAUGGGCGAAAGCCUGAGAGAGCAACGCCGCGUGAGUGAUGAAGGUCUUCGGAUCGUAAAACUCUGUUAUUAGGGAAGCGGUACCUAAUCAGAAAGCAACGGCUAACUACGUGCCAGAAGCCGCGGUAAUUC